AUUAAGAUUAUAGAAAAUCUAAAUGUAAUGGGAUGGUCAUUUUUGAGGUUAUUUCCUGUCGUCUAUUUGUCACUUCCGAAAGCAGUGAAAACAAAGAAAACUAAAAGAGAAAAUCACAGUUCAAAGAGAAAGAAACAUAUCUGGUAUUUGAGAACUACAGAAGACAAAUUAAAGCAGAGUGCAAAAGGAAUUUUAAUAAUCAUUGAUAAUAUUCUGGCUUCAAAAUGCAUGGAAAUGGAGAUGGGACAAAAUGCAUUCUACCAUUUGAUAGCCCAGAAUGAAUUACUUUAAAAGGCUAACAAGAAGAGGAGGCUCGCAGUAGAAGAUACAGACUCUGAAUAAUUAAUAAAAUGUUAAAAUGCUA